rnacentral:miRNA from 1 species
UUGAAAUCUCUUCAACUUUCAGA